GAAGAAGACUGUGUGGCUCUGACGACAAACGGGAGCAUUUUGAAGAGAGAAUAGAUCCAACGGAGGACACACUGGAUUGAAAGGGCUCUGGGGUGUUUUGCCAGGCAGAAGCGUGGAGAGCAGCCCGCCUUGCCACCUCUGCUACUGCCAUGGUGCGGAAUCUGCUGCUGGGCACCUUCGACUUGGAGACUUUGCUGCAACCUGAAUGGUGGAAAGCCAACCAGAGGGGAUGGGGAGCAGCUGGUCGCGUUUAUUAGGCAUUGGAGACUGCAUAAGAUGCUACAUUGAAGAAGUGGCCGGCAGCCACCCGAGGGCAGACAGGCACAUCUAUCAAUUCAAAGCUCACGAAGCUUUCUGUUCAGUUUUUUGUCUUAUUUUUGUUCUUGUACUAUAUUUUUGUUCUUUUACUAUUUUAUUGUUCUUAAGAAAAUAAAAAAAAAAAAAUUCUAAA